CAACUGUCCUUUGGGCUGAUCGGAUCAGUUUUCAUUGAAAGGGUCCACCGCGCUAUCCAUCAAGCCGAUGAACACAUUCUGCAGCGCCACGGCACAUCACUCCAUGGGCAUCGCCAUCAGAAACUCUUCUUCUCAUCUACUGAUAGCCUUGAAUGGGAAAACCUGGGCGGAACACAGAGCGUAUUAACUUCCAAGCAGGGUUGCAUGUUGCACGUGUUGUAUGAUAAUAGGAGGUAACUAAGAUAGGAUGUAACAGAUAACGAAAAGUCUGAAGCGUCGGACAUUCAUCAAUCUACUAUCGAUGAUCAUGAGUGAUGGAUUGGAUUGAUUAAAUCCCGUCAUGAUCAAGGCAGCCAUCGUUCGGC
rnacentral:sRNA from 1 species